GACGACGCUGGCGGCGUGCUUAACACAUGCAAGUCGAACGGGAGUAUUGAAGAAGCUUGCUUUAGAGAUACUUUAGUGGCGGACGGGUGAGUAACGCGUGAGGAGCUGUCCUAUGCAGGGGGACAACAGCUGGAAACGGCUGCUAAUACCCCAUAAGCCGAGAGGUAAAAGGAUCAAUCCGGCAGAGGAGGUACUCGCGUCCUAUCAGCUAGUAGGUGAGGUAACGGCUCACCUAGGCGAAGACGGGUAGCCGGCCUGAGAGGGCGAACGGCCACACUGGAACCGAGAUACGGUCCAGACUCCUACGGGAGGCAGCAGUGGGGAAUAUUGGGCAAUGGGGGAAACCCUGACCCAGCGACGCCGCGUGGGUGAAGAAAUCCUUCGGGAUGUAAAGCCCUGUUGUAUGGGAAGAGCGGAAGACGGUACCAUACGAGGAAGCCCCGGCAAACUACGUG
rnacentral:rRNA from 1 species